rnacentral:tRNA from 2 species
GCAGAUGUGGCGGAAUAGGCAGACGCGCUAUCUUGAGGGGGUAGUGAGAGGUUCUCGUACGGGUUCAAGUCCCGUUAUCUGCACCA